GCCUAGUUAGCUUAGUUGGUAGUGCGUCUGCCUUGUAAGCGUCAGGCCGCGGGUUCGAUUCCCGCCCGGGGCG
rnacentral:tRNA from 1 species